rnacentral:lncRNA from 1 species
UGAGAAGUGAAUUAGUGAGUCAAAAAUGUUUAAGUGUAGUUACUUGAAAGGUGGACUUGUGUUUUGAAUAUAGUUAAGUGUAGUCACUAGAGAAGUGAGUUAGUGAGUCAACAAUGUUUAAGUGUAGGUACUUGAAAUGUGGACUUGUGUUUUGAAUUUAGUUAAGUGUGGUCACUUGAGAAGUGAGUUAGUGACUUGAAAAUGUUUAAGUGUAGGUACUUGAAAUAUGGACUUGUGUUUUGAAUUUAUUUAAGUGUGGCCACUUGAGAAGUGAAUAAGUGACUUGAAAAUGUUUAAGUAUAGGUACUUGAAAUGUGGACUUAUGUUUUGAAUUUUGUUAAGUGUGGUCACUUGAGAAGUGCAUUAGUGAAGCGAAAAUAUUUAAGUGUAGUUACUUGAAAGGUGGACUUGUGAAAUGACUUAGUGACUUGAAAAUGUUUAGGUGUAGGUACUUGAAAUGUGAACUUUUCAUUUUGAAUUUAGUUUAGUUUGGUAACUUGUGAAGUGACUUAGUGACUUGAAAAUGUUUAGGUGUAGGUACUUGAAAUGUGAACUUUUCAUUUUGAAUUUAGUUUAGUUUGAUAACUUGUGAAGUGAAUUAGUGGACUUGAAAUGUUUAAGUGUAGUUACUUGAAUUAUGAAUUAGUGACUUUUGCUUUGAAUUUAGGUACUAGAAAUGUGAACUUGUGCUUUGAUUUUAGUAAAGUGUGGUCACUUGAGAAGUGAAUUAGUGACUUGAAAAUGUUUAAGUGUAGGUACUUGAAAGGUGAACUUUUAAUUUUGAAUUAAGUUUAGUUUGGUAACUUGUAAAUGUUUAGGUGUAGGUACUUGAACUGCAAACUUUUCAUUUUGAAUUUAGUUUAGUUAGGUAACUUGUGAAGUGAGUUAGUGACUUGAAAUAUUUAAGUGUAGUUACUUGAAUUAUGAAUUAGUGACUUUUAUUUUGAAUUUAAGUUGCGUUUUGAUUUUAGUAAAGUGUGGUCACUUGAGAAGUGAAUUAGUGACUUGAAAAUGUUUAAGUGUAGGUACUUGAAAUGUGAACUUUUGUGACUUGAAUUUAGUUAAUUGUGGUCACUUGAGAAGUGAAUAAGGGACUUGAAAAUGUUUAAGUGUAGGUACUUGAAAUGUGGACUUAAGUUUUGAAUUUAGUUAAGUGCGGUCACUUGAGAAGUGUGUCACUCCCCUUUUUUGUACUCUAAAAAGAUUCAAUUUUAAGGUUCGAAAGAUUUUUUAUUAUUAAAGUGACAAAAGAAGAAAAUUUGUUCCGAAAAGGAUUUAUUUUACAAUUAACUCAGAGUCGCCACUUGGCAUAAAUCGGGUGUGCCAAGUCACCUUUGGAAAUCCUUUUCAAAACUGUUUGAAUCAAACUGAUCUAUGAAUAGAGAUUCCGGCUAAGGAAUUCUGUUGACCAUGGGGAAGGUGUUAGGCACCACUCGAUUCCGUGGUUCAACCAGGUCUCUUGGUGGAGCAUGUAGGCUAAUUCGACACUAAAAGUAUAUAAACCACACAAAAACAUACAACCUAAUCAAUCAAACAAAAAAAAUCCAAAAUUAUAGUGUCCAGUCCAAUUAUUACAAUUCAAAAAUACAAAAAAUGCAAAAAAAAAAUAUAAAUCCUAUUCUAAACUAAUCCUAAACUAUGCUCUGACAUUUUACCCAUUGCCUUGGGCCUUCAUCACGAACAUCCUCCGAGUACAAAAUACUUCGAGGCAUUCCCCGAAUAAGUCAAUACAAAUACCUCGGGGCAUUCCCCGGCCAAAUGAGUACAAUUUUCAAUGUGAGAAAACCAAAUCAUUCACCCAAAUUUCAAACAUUCAACAAAAUCACAAAUUCUAAACUUUGCCUACCCAACCUAUGUUUGCCUAAACCAAUCGGCGUAUCAUGAUACUACCAAGUUCAAUUUACGGUCAUUUCAAGUUAAGCAAACAAUUAAAUCAAACUAACCAAAAUCAUCAAUUAUAUCAAAUUUUCAAUUCUCACCCCCAAAUCCAUUUUUUAACCACAUGAUCAAACUAAUUCUAUACGUGAUUCAUCAAUCAAGUUUUCUUCUCCAAAUUCGACAUUAAUAAAACAACCAACGGGGAUUCAAACAUGCAAGUACAUAAAUCAUUCAUAAUCAUGUAAGAAUUAGAAGGAGAGAGGGUAGAAUUGGACCUUCCGAUAUGACUUUCAUUGAUGAUACGAGUUAAAAGAAGCCCGAAUCCAAAAGCCCAAAUAGGAAACCUCAACAACAAGAAAAUCCCAACUCGGUAUCGAUAAACAAGCAUCCCAAAACUGACUACAAUAACCAACACUUGUACUGACUCAAUCAAAGAUGGGAACAGACUUGGGACUGAUUUUAAUCCAACUCAUGAUGAAUGUUGAUUCCAGCACGAUCCUAUCCAGAAAUUAAGAAGAAAAGAGAGUAUUGGAGGUUUUUCGGGGCUGAGUAGGUUGAGAUGAUGAGCUUGACGAUGAUUCUGGCGAGAUUUCACCAGAAAAACUAAAGAAAGAACAAUCAAAACCCUCAAAUCCUCUUUAUUUUCAUUUUGAUUUUUUGCUUAAUGCAUGUGUGUGUGCGAUUUACUGUAUACUGGGUGUGUGUAUUGAGAAAGUAAGAACAAAAGAGAGAACAAAUGGUGUAUCUAUGGGUGUGUGAUGAUGGAGAAGCAAGGAGAAGAAAAAUGGGGUCUUCAAUGGCGUCUGUGUAUGUUGGUAUGUGUAUGUAAGAGAAAAGAAGAGAAGAUGAUGUUGCCCUCUUUUUUAUUCUUUAUUAUUUCCUUUAAAGGAAAUAAAACGUGUAGGGGGAUUGAGGGCAUGGUUAGGUAGUGGUGAGGUGGCCUAAUUUAAUCGGGAGGGUUGAUAAUUUGUUAUCAAUUGAGAUAAGGUGGGAACUUUAGGAUAAAAUUUGUUUAGAGUUGGUCAUUGUUUUGUCAUUUUAUGAAGGGAUUAUCAUGUAGAUGAGGGUACACGGUAGGAUAAAGUAAAAAUAGGUAAAAGUGAUGUCGGGGAAGGACAAAAUUAGGUGUCUACAUCAUUCCCCUUUUGAAUGCAAACACACAGUGUUUUCAGACAAAGAAGUAGACAACAAGACAGAAUUUUGUCCCGACCAUUAUUCAAAGGAAGAAAUAAAAGAAAGAAGGACAACUGAAUUGGAGAGUCGAGUGAGGUCCCAUCAAGUUUAUGGUAUGCGGAUCUGUCAUUACAUCAAAAAUGAAAAUUACAAGUUAAAAACAUAAAUGAAAUUAAAAAACUCUAUCUAUGCAGAUUUCCUUGACUCUUGACUUGCUACUUCAUCACCCUAUUCUUCAGGUGGGCUCCUUACUAGCAAUUUCUUCACUCUGUUCUUCAGGCGGGCUCCUGACUUGUAAUUUCAUCACUCUAUUUUUUGGGCGAGCUCCCAACUUACAAUUUCAUCACUUGUUGCUUGGUUUUCAAUUUCUUCACCCUAUUUUUCAGGCAAGUUCCUGACUUGCUAUUUUUUGAUUUGUUGACUUUUAAUUUCUUCACCUUGUUUCUUGACUUUCAACUUUUCACUGUGUUGCUUGACUUUUUAUUUAUUCGCCUUGUUCUUCAGGUGGGCUCCUGAAAUCACAUCAAAACUAAAAAGAAAAUUAUCCCAAACAAAGAUUAUUAUAAAGAGGUUUCAUUUGCCAAAAAAGUGAAGUUCCAACACAAGAAUUAAAUUUUGCCCCAUUUUAUUAUCAAAGGAAUUUUGCGAAAGUCACAUCAUUAUAGGAAUCAAGGAGAAUGACUGGACUAUAAGGUGCAUCUGAUAGGAAUCAAAGGAAUUGACUGGACUAAAAGGUACAUCUUCUAGGGGUCAAGGAGAAUGACUUGACUAAAAGGUACGUCUUAUAGGAAUCAAGGGAGAUGACUCGACUAAAAGGUACGUCUUACUAGGAAUCAAGGGAGAUGACUCAACUAAAAGGUAUGUAUUAUAGGAAUCAAAAGGAAUGACUCAACUAAAAGGUACGUCUGCUAGGGGCCAAAGGGAAUGACUCGACUAAAAGGUACGUCUUAUAGGAAUCAAAGGGAAUGACUCGAUUAAAAGGUACGUCUUAUAGGAAUCAAAGAAUAUGACUCGACUAAAAGGUAUGUCUUAUAGGAAUCAAAGGGAAUGACUCGACUAAAAGGUAUGUCUUAUAGGAAUCAAAGGGAAUGACUUGACUAAAAGGUACGUCUACUAGGGUUCAAAGGGAAUGACUUGACUAAAAGGUACGUCUUAUAGGAAUCAAAGGGAAUGACUCGACUAAAAGGUACGUCUUAUAGGAAUCAAAGGAGAUGACUCGACUAAAAGGUACAUUUUAUAGGAUUCAAAGGGAAUGACUCGACUAAAAGGUAUGUCUUAUAGGAAUCAAAGGGAGUGACUCAACUAAAAGGUACAUCUUCUAGGGGUCAAAGGGAAUGACUCGACUAAAAGGUACGUCUUAUAGGAAUCAAAAGGAAUGACUCGACUAAAAGGAACGUCUUAUAGGAAUCAAAGGAGAUGACUCGACUAAAAGGUACAUCUUAUAGGAAUCGAAUGAGAUGACUCGACUAAAAUGUACGUCUUCUUGGGGUCAAGGGGAAUGACUCGACUAGAAGGUACGUCUUCUAAGAGUGAAGGUUCAAUUUAAAAAGUGUAUCACCCAAAAAAUAAAAAUUGAAAUCCCUGGACAAGAAAGUGUGUCUCCGAGGGAUACAAGAUGAUGAAUUUUUACCAUUAUUUAAUUAUCAAACCCGUGCAGCAAUAUUACUUCCUAUAUUUGUAAAAGUGAGAAAUUACGGGCCUUGAUGUUUAGGCUUUGAAAUCCUUGAUUUAAAGGUAACAUGUGUUCCUUUUUCAUGCAAAGAAAGGUUGUGAGUUUAAAACAUGGUGGAUGGUUUGUGGCUUUGGCUUUAGUGGUAAACGCUCUUGCCGUCGUCACAUUUAACCUUGCUUCUAACCAUUUAGCUGUGUCAUUGACUUGUUGCUUCACUGACCAAACUCAAAUUAUUAAGAGUGACUGAGACAAACACAACAUCUUUUCUUUGCCAUGCUUCUCAAAUAGACCCCUUGGAACCUUGGUAUUUCAUGAGUUCCCUGACUUAUUUGUUGACAAAACUUUCUGCUUGCCUCAUUUUGGCUCACAAUAAUGUCUCUUUAAUGCUUUGGCCUUUCUGCCUUGCUUUGUUCAAUUGAAGAAGUUGGUAGUUAGUUUUGAAAUCUUUUCUCUCUUGAUUUGACAUUGACUUGACUCAAAGACUAGAGAAAAAUGACAAUAAUUUUAUUUGGAUAACUGACUCAAGAAAAAUAAAAAUAUAACUAUAGAAAAGAAAGAAAUAAUAAUAAAUGUCCCCAUUGAAAAAGAUAAAAGAAAAGUUUAUCUGAAAAUGACAGUCAACUCUAAUGAUUAUGAAACGCAUAUCGGAUUAAACUGCCUGAUCUUUCCAUCUAAAACUCUCAUAAAUUGUUGUUGAGUUAAUGACCCUGAAAGUGAGUUGCUUUCUUGGGCCAAUUGCAUUCGGAGACCUCAUUCGGGUAAUGGCGCCUUGAAGGGUUUUCACCAACAAGCCUCUCUCAUUUCCUGUUAUUACCUGACCAUUGCCUUAUAGUAUCCGAGAGAGUUUUUUACCAAUAAGAUUCUGUUAUUUUCAUUUCUUUCAACUCAUAGUCGUCUUACAAUGCCCGUAAGGGUUUUCCCCGAUAAGACUCUCUCAUUUUUAUCUCUCUCAACUUACCAUCAUCUUAUGGUGCCCGUGAGGGUUUUCACCAAUAAGACUCUCUCAUUUUUAUUUCUCUCUUGAUUCCUUAUGCCGAGGAAGAUAAGUAGUAUCCAAAAUGCAUCAUCACAUCCAUUACAUGCUUAGCCUUAACAUUCUCAAAGAUUGAUCUGGAGGUCUUUCUUUGGUUGUAACUUGGCUUUUGGAUAGGGUUAGAAAGAAAAGGAUGGCAUGGGGCCUAAAUAAUACCUGAAGAGGGGGAUGACUUACAACUUUUGGAAUCGACUCAAAUAAUGAGGAUUAACUCAUGACCCAGUUUCUUUUAACUAGGCAAUUCUAAACUGUUUAUUUGGUUGGACCAAGCUUAGAGUAGGGCAUCCUACGUAUCUCACCCCCGAGAGAGAAGAAUCAAGUCACGCUUAGUUCUGGCAGCUUUUUCUUUUGCUUGAUAAUGACUUUCUUUUUUAUUCCAUUGACUUUUAUUGUCUCUUUUCUUUUAGAGACUUUUUUUCCGACUCUUUUUUCUUGACACUUUUUUUUUCUCUUUUUGGACAUAUUUUUUCUCUCUUUUCUUCUUUUUUUUUUGACUCUAUUCUUUUGCUCAACACUUUUCUUUUGAAUUUUACUGACUCUAUCUUGAUUCCAAAAGAGGGGUAUGAAAGAAAAUAUAAAUAGGCUCAAAUGGGGUAAACAAAGGAUGACACAAUAUUUGAAUAAUAGAAUGAAAUGUCUUCAUCAUAUCAAACCUUGAGAAUGCAAGUACAUAACAUACAAUUGAAAAAUGGGAGACAAAGAUCACGUGUGACACUUUAACAACACUAACUUAAACUGAAAAUGUGUAUCACUUCUUCUUCUAUACUUGUCCAGCAUACAACUCUACCUUUGUUAUGCAUCCCUCACAUCGAAUGAUUCAUGCUUUUGUGGAGCUGAUUUUUUUUUGUUCCUCUUGAUAUAGGAUCACACAGCCACUGUUCGACCUAAUUAAGACAUGUCUUUCAAUUGAUGGCCGAUUUAUUCUUGUGAUUCUCAAAACAAUUACCUUAAUUUUCAAAGAAGGCUUUAACUUGUCACCAAAUGUCUCAGCACUCUACCUAUUUUCUUAGAUGUUUCUUCUAACUUUAGCCCUCUUAUUCCAUGUUUCAUGGUUUGAUUGGAUUUUAAGAUUUGGCUAAAAAUUUCACUAGUAUGUCAUAUCAUUAGAGUCAACACAAAAUGUACUAUGUAAAGAAAAUAAACAAACAACACAUAUUUAAAACAUAAAGAAAAAUGGGACACUUCAUUUAGUUGAAACAUAAGAUAGAAGGGUUUGAACAUAAAUGACAAAAGGAAAAAACAAGAUAGAUCCUAAAGUACAACCCUGAAAUAGUUCAGACAAUAGAAAAUAAAACAAAACAAGCUACCAGACCUCUUCCUAGUAGGGAGAGGGGUGACUUCUCAAUUGCUCAUCCUGACAUCUUAGCCACUGGUUUAUAUAUCAUCAUGACUAGAGUUUCCCUCAUUGUCAAUGUUCUGUACCAUAAUUGAUCCAUCUUGAAUCAUCUUUUUAUUUUCUUUUUUCAAAUCUCGACAAUCUUCAAUACUAUGACCCUGAGCAUCAGAAUGAUACGAACAUCGCACAUUAGGAUUAAAAUUUCUUGAAUGCCAAUUAAGAGUGCAUCCAAGGAGAGGAGUGAUCAUGCCCUAUUGUACCAAUCUAUGAAAUAAAAUAGUAUACGGCUCUCCAAUAGGUGUAAAUUUAUCUCUCCACUUCUACCUCAUUUCAUCAUUUGGCUUGGAUCAAAAAUCAGGCUUAAAAGGGUUUUGGUAUGUUUGUGGAGUUAGAGGAUGACUCUGAGGAGUUGGUGUGUUCCACUGUGGGUAAGAUGGGGGUUGAAUAUAUGGAUGUGUAUUAUAUACUGGAUAUGGAGUGGGAGGAGUAGAGUAUAAUGGAUUUUGGGAGUGAUUAUGUGAAGCUUAGGUAUGAACUUGGGUUUGUGCCUGAGAGUGACGCCGACGUGGUCUUCUUGACCUUUCCUGCUGUCCAACUACAAUAAUAGAUGCAUCUUCCUCAUUCUUUUUCUCCCCAACACUUCCUGAACCCUUUUGAAUUGCUUGAGUAGUCGCUUUCAAUGUUGCAAAACUCACAAUGCGACCAGUCUUAAUUCCCUCUUCUAUCAUCUCCCCCAUUUUAAGGACCUCAAUAAACGGCUUGCCUAACACAGGUAAAAAAUGUUGAUAAUAUAUUUCAUCUUGCUCUUGAAUAAACACCUCCACUAUCUUGAUUUCUUUCAUUGGCGGCUUUACCCUAGUAGCUUAUUCACGCCAUCUGAAACUCUCAGUAUUAUUCUUCUUCAUACUGGUUAGGGAUUUUUUGUAGGGAUCAACUCCACAUUGUAUUAAAAUUGUUAUACAAAUUCGUUAGCUAGGUUAUCCCAACUAAUCUACUUGUUAAUGUCUUGGUCAACAAACCAUUCUGAAGCUAUCCCUAAAAGACUCUCCCUGAAACAAGCCAUGAGUAGUUCUUCCUUCUCUCCAGAACCUCUGAAUUGGUUACAAUAGUGCCUCAAAUGUACCACUGGGUCCCCAUGUAUGUCAUAUUUCUUAAACUUUGGCAUUUUAAAGCCAGGAGAAAGGUUGACACCUGGAAACAUGCAUAAGUCCUUAUAUGAGACACUUUUGUAAUCCCCAAGUCCUUGCAAGUUCUUUAUUCUCAAUUUUCUGGUCAUUUUCUCUUGUUCUUCUUUCAUAAUAGGCUUCUCAAUGUUAAGAGGAAAUUCAGACGGGUGAGUGUCACCGUAAAGACCAGUCAACUUGAAUGUAGGCUCAGAAGUGUAAUGCUAAUCACUAGUAAUAUCCAAUGCAGGUUCUCUUGUAAAGUAGGGAGGCACAACUUGUGGAUGAACAUCAAAAGUAGGAGCUUUAGGUGGGGGUGGCACCGCAAAAGUAUGAACAACAGGUGGAGUGGAGUAUGUGGUAGUCUUAGAUUGGGGAGUGAGGAAAUGAACAUUGGAAGUGGUUGGAUAUUAUUGCCCCAGAGUCGAUCCUGAUGCAUGUUGUGGCAUGUCAACAAAAAUGGGAAACUGUGGAUGUGACAUGGGAGGCAAGCUAUAAAGAUACUCUAGAUUAUCAGUGGGAACUGGAGGAGGCGGCAACCCAUUAGCCCAAGCUCGAUGAAUUCCUAUCAUUUGCUGCCUUAAUUUCUGAAUCUCUUCAUUAGCUCCUAAAUUCUCAUUUCUCAAACUCCCUAUCUGAUUAGUGACAACAAACUCGGUAUCCUUGUUGGUCAUAACUUUUUUGAUGACUCGGUGCAAUACAGUGGACCAGCCAAAAUGCCACAAACCAACCACCUUAAACUAACUGAAUAAGAGAUAACCAAUGUGUUAAAAUUCAACAUUUGUUUAAAAAACUUUUUUUUCUUUUAUUGACAAGGUCACCGAACCCGAGAAGGGCGCCUACGUAUCUCACCCCCGAGAGAGGAGAAUCAGGUGUGCGUAGUUCGUGAAGUCUUGCCAAAAUAGCCAAAUUAACGUCUUUUUCUAUUCCUUGAAACUUUAAGAAGAAAAGAAAAUAACAAUUUGUCAAAAGAAUUGACAAAAACAUUUUUGAAUUUUUCAGCUUUAACAUCCCUAUACAAAAUGAAAUCUAUGAUUACCAAAGAAAAAUCUUUUUUGGGUUUUCAAUUUUGAAUUUCAUAUAAAAAUGAAACUUGAACCUAUAAAAGGAAAAUCUUUUUGCAGUUUUCUUUUAAAGAUGUAUAUGAAACACUUACUCUAAAUAAAGAGUGAAGAAAAUCUUUUUGGAUUUUUCAAAUAAGAUCCCCAAACUAACAAUAGGCUGCCUACAUAUCUCACUCACAAAAGAGGAGAAUCAGGGGUGCGUAGUUUGUCCAGAUUGGACAAUUUAGGAUUAAAUAACCAACACCCUGACUUGAGAGACAUGAGCACAAAUAGAAGAUUCAAAACGUCAAUAAAAUCUUUUUGAGUUUUCAAUUUGACACUUCACAUACAAAAAUGACACCAACAAUUAUGAAAGAAUUUUAUUUUUUUUGGAUAUUUUCGUGAAAUGUACAAAAUUCCUACCUUUUUUUUGCAUUUUUCUUUUAUAAAACUCCUAUGAAUGAAAAAUCUUUUUGAAGUUUUUGAAUUGUGAAUGCAUGCUAAACGAGACAAAGGAGAAAUCUUUUUAAUGUUUUUAGUUUUGAGAAAUGAGUGCAAAAGGUAAAAAUCUUUUUGAAUUUUUGGAUUGUGAAGAACAAAAGUCAUAAAAAAAUCUAAAAAACUACGAAACUCUUUUUUUCAAUUCACCUUUUCUCUUUUUCUCGUUUCUUUCAAACUUUUCCUUGUCUACACACUUCCUUUAAUUCUAAAACAUGUUUUUUCCCAAAACAGUCUGUCAAAUGACCCCGUUACCCUCAAAGAUGCAACAUUUAGCAUGUAGGAAUGUUUUAGAGGUGAGUCUCCUACAAAGGACCAAGUGGGUCCCGCUAGGUCUCAAUAUGAUGCACAUAAGCAUGACCUAAAGGCUGACCUAUGUUGAGGUUUACUAACAAGCCUGGUCGGGGGAGCGUAUAGUCAAUAGUGGCUGCGACAGCUUUUCACCUACUCCAUACAAUCCAACGGCUCCCCCUCCUAAAAUAAGGGUGACUAAACUAUAGGUCAUGUACACACGUGUACUACGAGCUUGUUGUAGAAAGAAUGACUCGGGUUAUGAACAUGAUGCCAGAUAUAAAGCAGUAACACAUAAGGUAAAAACUGUAAACAAAGAGCACGUAUAAACUCAACAAUGAUAAACAAUAACACCAAACAACACAACACAAAAUGUCUAUACACCUAUAGUGCCAAACUAAGCCGAUACAACUCCAAAAUAAGCUCGAAUUCUGAAAAAUUAUCCCCAGCAGCGUUGUCAGAGCUGUCACACCCCUUUUUCGUACUCUAAAAAGAUUCAAUUUUAAGAUUCAAAAGGUUUUUUAUUAUUAAAGUGACAAAAGAAUAAAAUUUGUUUCGAAAAGGAUUCAUUUUACAAUUAACUCAAACUCGCCACUUGGCAUAAAUCGGGUGUGCCAAGUCACCUUUGGAAAUCCAUUUCCAAAUGAUUUGACUCAAACUAAUCCGUGAAUAGAGAUUCUGGCUAAGGAAUUCAGUUGAUCGUGGGGAAGGUGUUACGCACCCCUCGAUCCCGUGGUUCAACCACGGUCGCUUGGUGGAGUAUAUCGGCUAAUUCGACACUAAAAGUGUAUAAACCACACAAAAACAUACAAACUAAUCAAACAAACAAACAAACAAAUAAACAAACAAAUCCAAAAUUAUAGUGUCCAGUCCAAUUAUUACAAUUCGAAAAUAGAAAAGUUUGAAAAAAUAUAUAAAUCCUAUUCUAAACUAAUCCUAAACUAUGCUCCGACAUUUUACCUGUUGCUUUGGGCCUUCAUCACGAAUGUACUCCGAGUACAAAAUACUUUGGGGCAUUCCCUGAAUAAGUCAAUACAAAUACCUUCGGGCAUUCCCCGGCCAAAUGAGUAUAAUUUUUCUAUGCAAGAAAACCAAAUCAUUCACCCAAAUUUUAAACAUUCAACAAAAUCACAAAUUCUAAACUUUGCCUACCUAACUUACUUUAGCCUAAACCAAUCGGCGUGUCAUGAUACUACCAAGUUCAAUUAACGGUCAUUUAAAGUUAAACAAACAAUUAAAUCAAACUAACCAAAAUCACCAAUUAUAUCAAAUUUUCAAUUCUCACCCCCAAAUCCAUUUUUUAACCACAUGAUCAAACUAAUUCUAUAUGUGAUUCAUCAAUCAAGUUUUCUCCUCCAAAUUCAACAUCAAGCAAACAACCAACGGGGAUUCAAACAUGCAAAUACACAAAUCAUUCAUAAUCACGUAAGAAUUAGGAGGAGAGAGAGGGUAGAAUUGGACUUUCUGAUAUGACUUUCGUUGAUGAUACAAGUUAAAAAAAGCUCGAAUCCAAAAGCCCAAAUAGGAAACCUCAACAACAACGAAAUCCCAACUCAGUAUCGAUAAAAAAGCAACCCAACACUGACUACAAUAACCAACACUUAUACUGACUCAAUCAACGACGGGAACGGACUUGGGACUGAUUUUAAUCCAACUCACGAUGGAUGUUGAUUUUGGUACGAUCCUAUCCAGAAACCGAGAAGAAAAAAUAUUAUUGGGGGUUUUUCGUGGCUGAGAGGUUGAGACGAUGAGCUUGACGAUGAUUUCAACGAGAUUUCACCGGAAAAAACAAAGAAGGAAAAAUCAAAACCCUCAAAUCCUCUUUAUUUUCAUUUUGAUUUUUUGCUCAAUGCAUGUGUGUGCGUGAUUUACUGUAUACUAGGUGCAUGUAUUGCGAAAGGAAGAAUAGAAGAGAGAAAAACGGUGUCUCUAUGGAUGUGUGACGAUGGAGAAGCAAGGAGAAGAAAAAUGGGGUCUUCAAUGGCGUCUGUGUGUGUUAGUAUGUGUAUGUGAGAGAAAAAAAGAGAAGAUGUUGUUGCCCUCUUUUUUAUUCUUUAUUAUUUCCUUUAAAGGAAAGAAAACGUGUAGGGGGGUUGAGGGCAUGGGUAGGUAGUGGUGAGGUGGCCUAAUUUAAUAGGGAGGGUUGUUAAUUUGUUAUCAAUUGAGAUAAGGUGGGAACUUUGGGAUAAAAUUUGUUUAGAGUUGGUCAUUGUUUUGUCAUUUUAUGGAGGGGUUAUCAUGUAGAUGAGGGUACACGGUAGGAUAAAGUAAAAAUGGGCAAAAGUGAUGUCGGGGAAAGACGAAAUUAGGUGUCUACAAAGUGAAUUAGUGAGUCAAAAAUGUUUAAGUAUAGUUACUUGAAAGGUGGACUUGUGAAGUGACUUAUUCAUUUGAAAAUAUUUAGGUGCAGGUACUUGAAAUGUGAACUUUUCAUUUUGAAUUUAGUUUAGUUUGGCAACUUGUGAAGUGACUUAGUGACUUGAAAAUGUUUAGGUGUAGGUACUUGAAAUGUGAACUUUUCAUUUUGAAUUUAGUUUAGUUUGA